CGGACGGGUGAGUAACACGUGGAUAACCUACCUAUAAGACUGGGAUAACUUCGGGAAACCGGAGCUAAUACCGGAUAAUAUAUUGAACCGCAUGGUUCAAUAGUGAAAGACGGUUUUGCUGUCGCUUAUAGAUGGAUCCGCGCCGCAUUAGCUAGUUGGUAAGGUAACGGCUUACAAAGGCAACGAUGCGUAGCCGACCUGAGAGGGUGAUCGGCCACACUGGAACUGAGACACGGUCCAGACUCCUACGGGAGGCAGCAGAC
rnacentral:rRNA from 1 species